AAAAUGAGGCCUCUGUCUGCUUUCCUUCUUGCUAGGAAGAGGUGUGUUUUCUUUUGGAGGCUUUCUCUACUUCAAGCCAUAAGGAUUUACUUUUAUCAAUUAAAUAUAAAUGGGCUUGCUGCGUGGCUGCCAACCUGGAAGGCCCCAGUGCCCUUCCCUCUCCCAGAUCCUGUGGCCGCUCUUGCAUUUGAACUCUGCAGGCUUAGUGGAGUGGGUCAGUGGAGAAAGGCCACAUCUCCAGAACAAAGCCUGUGAUUCAGUCCUGAGUCUCCCUUCAGUUUGGGCCUCUGUGAGUGGAGCAGAUAUUUUAAAGCCUCUCAAUGACAGGUAACUUAAGGGGGGAUUAUAACAUCAAAGUGGUGUUUUUUUUUUGUUUUUUUUUUUCCUUUCUUUCUGUGCUUACAAUCUUAAUUUUUUUUUUUGUCUUUUUGCCUUUUCUAGGGCCGCUUCUGUGGCAUGUAGAGGUCCCCAGGCUAGGGGUCUAAUCGGAGCUGUAGCCACUGGCCUAUACCACAGCCACAGCAACGCUGGAUCCUUGACCCGCUGGAUGAGGCCAGGGAUCGAACCCACAACCUCAUGGUUCCUAGUUGGAUUCGUUAACCACUGAGCCACGGGAACUCCUGCUUACAAUCUUGCUGUUAGGUUUUUCUAGAUUAAUCAGUUUUACUAGAUUAACUAAUGGUUUUAUUUCUUUUCACAAUUACAUGUCAUUUGCUUCCUCUUCCUCCCUUUCGAGAUAUCAAUUUUGGUUUUUGCAGCAUAAUCUACCACAUAGGUCCAGUCUUUAGGGAGUGUCCCUGGGCUACAUUUAUUUUAUAUGAACAAGACAGUUCUACUAGCUUCUGUUUAGGUCAUACCCAUGUGCAGUGUGCUGAGUUGAGACACCAGGUAAAGACGGGGAUUAUAGUAUCUUUUACUUAAACCGUUCCUCUUCUGGCUCUGAUAAAACUUUAAACACAAAACGUACCUUCCUUUUUAUUUCAUAGGUAGUUUCUCUGUCAAAAGCAAUGCUAAAGGCAAGAUGAAUAAAACCAGCUUCUACACUUUAAGGUUAUCUUUGAAAUAUUUAUGGAUAUGUUCAGGGGAAAAAAGGCUUUGACUACUUGCUGCUAAAACAAUGGGUGAAGCUGAGUUUCUUCUAGAAUAUUGUUGGUAUUGUUAAUGCAAUAUUGUUAUGUUAUUAUAGAAUAUUGGAGAAAUUCUAUAAUAAAACUUUAAAAAUUGUUUUUUAAAAAUGUU
rnacentral:lncRNA from 1 species